rnacentral:rRNA from 1 species
GAUGAACGCUGGCGGCGUGCCUAAUACAUGCAAGUAGAACGCUGAAGGAGGAGCUUGCUCUUCUGGAUGAGUUGCGAACGGGUGAGUAACGCGUAGGUAACCUGCCUGGUAGCGGGGGAUAACUAUUGGAAACGAUAGCUAAUACCGCAUGACAACAGUUAUUGCAUGAUAACUGUUUAAAAGGGGCAACUGCUCCACUACCAGAUGGACCUGCGUUGUAUUAGCUAGUUGGUGAGGUAACGGCUCACCAAGGCGACGAUACAUAGCCGACCUGAGAGGGGGGUCGGCCACACUGGGAAUGAGACACGGCCCAGACUCCUACGGGAGGCAGCCGUAGGGAAUCUUCGGCAAUAGACGGAAGUCUGACCGAGCAACGCCGCGUGAGUGAAGAAGGUUUUCGGAUCGUAAAGCUCUGUUGUAAGAGAAGAACGAGUGUGAGAGUGGAAAGUUCACACUGUGACGGUAUCUUACCAGAAAGGGACGGCUAACUACGUG